AUCACUUGGGAAUCUUGUUAAAAUGCAGGUUCUGAUUCAGCAGGUCUAGGAUGGGGCCUGAGACUCUGCAUUUCUAACUAUCUCCCAGGUGAUGCCUA
rnacentral:pre_miRNA from 1 species